UUUACUUAGAACUAUAAUCAGUCUUAAAAAGAAAUUGCGACCCGAAAUGUGAUCAAAAUGUUUUUUCGCAGUACUCACGAACUUUGAUUCUCGCUAAAUAUUAGGACUUGCCAACUUGUAAUUGUAAUAAACACAAAGCUUUUUUAACCCUUCUUCGUUGUUUUUUUUUUAAAAAAAAAUGGAGUCCUCUUUUGUAAUAUAAUCACAGUAACACGAAAGAGUGUUUUUCGCGCCAAAAAUAAAUUGAUUAUUCCAUAUCGAAUAUUUAAAAUUAUUUGAUGGAGCGCUUCAGUUACGGGUGGAUGAUUAUAAGUGUUGCUUAAAAGUUUUAAUUGAUUUAUUUAUGUUUGUUUGAUUUAGUAAAAGUUGUUGGAGAAGAAAGAUAAUUAUAACAGAAAGAGAUCGAGACGUGUGUAUUUGAUAGGAAAAAGUUAAAAAUAUAUGGUAUUCGAGUAAAAGAGGGAGAGAGAGCGCGCACUGUCAUAACAAACCUAAAACAACGUUACGAUAUUCUAUUAUAGCUAUCAACAAAACGAUUCAUAAUUUUAUUCACAGAAGAAGAACUCACACGACGCGCACAAGUGCCAACGUAGCCAUGGUGGUAUGGAUUAUGGAAAGACAGAACAUCUUUAUUUGCAUGAUGAUAUUUUUCUGUUAACUGGUUUAGCUUUUCAUUAUUUUUACUCCUUUCCAAUAUAUGUGGAUUCACCAAUAUAUCUUGAAUUAUUUUUUAUUCAUAUUUUUAUUUAUUUAACUGACUCAACUCUUCUUCUUUUCUGCCGUGUAUUUAUUUUACAGUUGGGUUUGCUUGAACGCCAUAACGUCCGGCAAAAUAUUCAAAACAGAAAGUCGGAAACGUUUUUUACUUGUCUCGUCUAUGAUCUCUCCUGGUGUUCUAGAAUGUUGCGUCAUGUGCAAAUGAACUCUUCCGUAAAAAUUCGAUAUAAAUUGAUUCAAUCCAAAAAAAAAUAUACAAGGUUAGAUGACCUUACAUUUCAUAUUAGACAAGCUCAUCGGCAGUAAUGGUAUGAAGUUACUAAAGCAAUGCACAGAGGGGAUGGCAUUGAAUUAAGCCGGCUUCUGCAUAUCAUAUCUACCACGUUUGAGAAGGCGGUUUGAAGUUUAUGAAAAACAAGUUAAAGUCUUUAUACAACACAAGAUAAUACAAUAGUCUAUAUUUUUAGAGAUUUGCGCAAUUUUUAGUAUCAACUUGUUUUCUUAAUCCAUCAGUCAAUUAAAUUUAGUUCUUCAUCAGUUAUGGUCUAAUCUUUUUGUGGCUGAGUGUUCUCUUCCAGUGCGAAAGGUCGUGGGUUCAAACCCCGGUUUAGUUAUAUCCUGUCUUAGAUAAAUAAUCAUCAAGAAUUUUUAAUAAAAACAAUAAAUUUCAUAUUGAAGUGCCAGACACUGCGUUCAUUUGAAAAUUUGCUUGUAUUGUAGAAGAGUUGAAAUGGAAGAACUGUCUUUAGUUCAUCUUCUUUUCACAUUAUUAAUCUAUUUUAUUUGUUGCAAAUAUCUUUGUUGGUUUUCAAGAUAUAGAAAUUUAGCUAAUAAUAAAGAAUUUCGAUAUGUUAAGUUAGAUACUGAAAACAAUGGCUGGUAAAUAAUAAUCAAGAUUACUAAAUAUUAAUAUUUAUGUAAAUAUAUUCCAAAUGUGAAACUGGAUAAGUAACAACAUAUUUACUUUACCACAUACCUUGAUAAAUCCAUAAAACAGCACCUUAUAUUAAAUAUAUGACGUCAUGCAUUAAAUUAGCAUAAUUAUGACUCCUAAACUUAAAAAUCUUAAGAACUGAUCGAGAUUUUUCAAAAAAAAAUAAAAAGAUUCAUAGAAAAAUUUUCAAGCUCUUACAUGUGAGUCCAACUUGUUUUUUCGUGGGAGGUAAGCUUUCACCAAGAAGGAGAAUAAUUUUGUAUUACAACGAAAGUAGAAAGUAAGCCCACUUAAAAAAUAUUGAUUUCAUAUCUCCAAUUGAAGAUAUUAAGACCAACAGUAGUGCUUUUUUACCAGUUGCUAGGUCUUUAAGGAUUUUAGCCUGGUGUUGCGGUACAAAAGCGUGUGGGCUGUACCUAUUUUCCAGAGUGAAUAUAUUUUACCUGUUAAUAAAAAAUGUUGAAAAAAGAACUUAGGUCAUAAGAGAAAAAAAUUGUUCUUGCCCACGCUUUUCUAUAAUCUUAAACAUAAUUAUGUAAAAAAUAGAACAAUAAAUUGCUUAUCGAGCUGUCUCCUUAAAAGGCCAAUGAAUCAGCCAGUGUGAGGAUUAUAUUCUUAUCCAACUGACUUAACAAUCAAAUCGACUCAAAAGUCCGGCAAAGAAUGAGCACGAAGAGAUUGAUCUGUCUGUUCUUCAUUACGAACGCAAUCUUUGCUUUGGUGGAUACCAAGCCACUUGAUCUAGUUACGUUUUGCCAUAUGGAAUGCUCCAGAAAGCUGAGUCGAUGCUUGAGUAUACCGAAUGAUGACAUACAACAUGCACUUGUGUGCAUUCAAAGUAAAUUCAUUUGCCGAAGAGAAUGUGUCUUAAAAGCAAAGAUGGCAGACAGGUGAAGUGGUGACACAAUGUCUUUUAAAAAGCAAACGAAAUAGCUCAAUGUAAAUGAGACAACAUGCAACUAAAUGAGACAACAUUUGACUGGAGUAAGAUGUGACUGGAGCAAGAUGUAACUUUUACCAAAGUGCAACAGAGGCAAAAAUUGAUUGAGGCAAGUUGGUAAAGUGAAAAUAAUGAAGAAUUUGCAAUAUAUCACUAUCGAAGAGAAAUGCUGAUGUGUGCAAAAAUAAUCUAUAUCUAUUCAUUAUUCUAGAAAUUAUGUAUACGUAACUGGUCAUACAUAACCCAUAAAAACGUUCCCCAUAUUUAAAAACGUUACCAUAGCACCAGAUUCGUAUAAAUACAACAUGAAAAAUGAUUAAUUAUACGGAUUUAUCAUUUUAAUGCCGGAUAUAUCAGUCACAUUCCCAUGCUGGGUAAUAUGUCACAGCUUUGAUGUGAGGAAAAUAUACCACCUGGUGGGAUUAUGAAAAGAUUUUAUGACGAAUCUCAAGACAUGUGUUAAUUCCAUUAAUCAGUAAACAAACUGAUGUUGGCCUGAUUAACUUGAGAUGUCGCGUUUUUUUAUUUUUUUUAUGUAUUGUUGUUGUUGUUGUGGUUGUUGUUGUUGUUUUUCUUGUUGUUGUUUUACUAUUAUUACAACUGUUUAUCCAUGGUGGCCUCUUUAGUUCUUUUUAGUUCUGUUAUCGAUGAUAGUACUGCGAAAGGGGGUCCUAGUGCAUGUAGAUCUAGUAGGUGAGCUACGAAAGCUGUGCAAGCACAAAAAUCUGCCAAUUGCACAACCGCCUAAGAUAGUAAACCUACUCUCAUACUGAAGGCUAAGUAGAACGUUUUAUUAGGUGACUCGACCAGGGCUUGAACCUAUAACCUUCUUUGCUGUCGUGUUUUUUGUUUGUUUGUUUUGUUGAUGUUGUUGUUGUCGCUGUUAUGGUUUUCAUUUAUCUGCUGUAUUGUAGAAUUGAAACAAAAUGUAAAAAUAUCUAUCUAGACAUUAGAGUAAAUUUUAUUAUAUUUAUCUAUUUAUUUAUUUAUUUAUUUUUCAAGAUUAUUAAAACUUGUAAAUGCAAACAAUAAUGACGAUUAUCUUAAUGCAACAUAUUUUUAUUAAAACUAAA